AGCUGCUCGGCCGUGGAUGGCAGGGUCGCCUCCUUCUACGGCUCCGAGACGGAGGAGGUCUUUCUGCGAAGGGACACCAUAUCUUCUACCAGCUUCUCAGAGGGGGCUGGGACCACCCAUCACUGAAAUGAACAUUUCCUUUAGACACUGAACCUCCUCUAAUUCUGACCUAGACAAAGACCCUACACCUUGCAAAGGGUUGGUUUCUGAAGUCCAAAUGAAGCUGCAUAAGCUUCCUGAGCCGCGGUUUUUCCUCUUGCACGCGUCCAGAAGUCUAUGUGAGAUGAAAGUUCCCAAAACACCUGUGGACCCUGGCCACGCUGGCGAGUGUUCUUACAGAUACUGAAGCCCUCACCAGGUGGGAGAAGUUAACGGUCUGCUGCCCACAAGCACGUAGACCCCAGACCGGUUGAAACCAGAAGUUUGAUGAUGCUGACUCCCAAUUACCUCACCACCAACCAACGAGAAGAAUGUCCAGGAGCUGAUCACGCCUUCCUCUGUGAACCGUUACUAUAAAACUCCUCACUAGCCCCUCCG